UAGUGCAUCCUUCAUAAAAAUAGGGUUUAAAGAAAUCAGCUCCAGCAGCAUGUUUUCAACACCCUGAGUGACGCAAGCCAUGUUAGACCCUACCAAAGAUCACUCCUCACACCUGGGGCACACAAGGAAAGGAACUGACAGGACUGAGAAGAACAUCCGUCAACUUCUGCAAAGUAUCAACAAGAUCAUCACCCACAGAGGCAGAUGUCUCAAGGAAAGACUAUCCCUUGAAUCGGGUCAUGGAAGUUUGCUAGCAGGCUGUGGUCCAUGAACUCACAGAAACUAUAAACCAUCCAUGAAGAAGGAAUGGGUCCAUCUGAAGAGUGCCAAAGGGAAAAGUAAGACAAAGACAUGGAGCAGCCUCCAGGGGAUGAAAUCGAUGAAUGGGAGGAAGAAGAGAAGAAAGCCAGAUCUCAGGAGUUUCUAAGUAGAUGGCACAAAUUCAUCUAAAUGAACAGAAUACGGCUGUGCAAAUGUUUAAUGUAUUUGUGAAAAUUAUACUUUUUGAAAACUAAUUAUUCACAUUCAAAACCAGUAUUUCAAGGCUUGUGGCUAAACUAUUGUCUGUAAAAGCCAUGGCUUAUGUGUUACAUUCUGUUUGUGCUUUUCUGUUUCACUUUUAUCUGUUCUGCAGAUGAAGGCAAUGGUGCAAAAAGGAGUUUACCAGAAAUGAGUAUUGAGUAACAGUCUGAUCUUAAAAUACUUUUGCAACUUGUUAUGCAAAAUCACAGUUGCAGAAAAAUUGGUUUCCAUCAAAAGCUAUUAAACAGAUCAACUAGAUUACCUCUAGCUCAGAUUUUUUAAAAACCCAAUCUCCUUCACAGAAAACUUUUGUUCUAUUUGUAUACAUUAGAGCAACCAGUACAUAUCAAACUUCAGGCCUCUUACGAGUAAGCAAAUAUAUCAAAGAAAAGUUUUUACUUAAUUGAAAUCUGGGUUAAAGUAAAGAUGCAAUAGUGUCAAUUCAGGAACUGUAGGCAGGAGGACAAUUUAACAAAUACCAACAUAAUACAAUUUUUCGCCACAUGUUUUCUACCUCUAUGGUUGUAUUAAACUUGGAAAAAGAAAUGAUCUUAGUAAAUAACAAGAAGUUUGCUUUUCUAUAAGAGUUAUCUAUUGCAUACUUUUCUUUUUUUUAGUAUUUUUUCUAAGCUUACCUUGAGUUUCAUAUUACCCUUUUGUGCAGAUAACAGGAUGAAAAAAAUCAUUUGCUUUGGAAAGUCAUUAUUUUCAGUUUGUUGUUGUUGUUUUGAGACAGGGUCUCAUUCCAUUGCCCAGGCUGGGGUGCGUGGUGCAAUAAUGGCUCACUGCAGCCUCGACUUACUGGGCUUAGGUGAUUCUCCCAACACAGCCUCCCAGAUACACAGUAUCUGGGACUACAGACACCAACCACUACACCUGGCUAAUUUCUUUGUAUUUUUUUGUAGAGACGGGGUUUUGCCAUGUUGCCCAAGCUGAUUUUGAACUUUUGGGCUCAAGCACUCUGUCUACCUCUGCCUCCCAAAGUGCUGGGAUUACAGGCGAGAGCCACUGUGCCCGGCCUCUUCUGUGGUCUCUAACAUUGUUCUUGAAUUAUUAACGGUGAAGAACCUGGAUUUUUGUGUUGCACACCAGUAUUUGAAUCUGAAGUCUUCUGCUUGUUGUUUCCUGGACAGUGGACAGGAGCUUAUAUGGUUCAGUCUAUUCCUCUCUUAAAUAGGGUUGAGUUGUGUACAUCUCACAUAUUGGUGAUGAGAAAUUAAAUAGUAUACAACAACGUGAACAUGAUACUUGGCACAUUGUAACCAAAAUAAUAGUACUGGUUAUCUUUAAUAUUGGUAUCAGCAUUAUUAGGUUUAUAUUUUUUAAUGAUCUCAUGUUUGCUAAAAAUUGUACGUUUAAAACAAGCUUCAAGGGAUAAAAACUGUGUUCUCUGGUAUGUGAGUAAUGACGACUUGUUUGCAGUACUGAAACCUUUGCAGAUUUCAUCAUAUAUCUAGAAGUAAUUUGAAAUAUGCUUAUUACAUACUGAAAUAUUUAACUCUUUUAUUAUACACUGAAAUAUUUAAAACUUUAACAAUUAACUUGAUUUUACUUUGUAAAUUCCCAUUUAUGGGAUAAAGAAAAUGUGGUAUAUAAACACAAUGGAAUACUAUUCAGCCACAAAAGAAUGAAAUCAUGUCAUUUGCAGCAAAAUGGAUGGAACUGAAGGUUAUUAUAUUAAGUAAAAUAAACCAGACAUAGGCACAUUUCACAUGUUCUUACUCAUGGGAGCUUAAAAGUUCAUUUCAUUGAGGUAUAGAGUAGAAUGAUAGAUACCAGAUGCUGGGAAUGUUGUGUGAGUGCAAAGGGGGAUGAAGAGAGUCUGGUCAAAGGGUACAAAUUACAGUUACAUAAAAGAAGUAAGCUCUAAUGUUCCAUAACAGUUCAUAACUACAGUUAGCAACAAUGUAUUGUAUAUUUCAAAUUAGCUAAAAUAGGGAACUUGAAAUGAUUCCAACACAUGGAAAUGAUAAAUACUCAAGGUGAAGAAGGCCCCAAAUACCUGGACUUGAUCCUUAUACAGUCUAUGCAUGCAACGAAAUAUCAUAUGUACCCCAUAAUAUGUAAAAUAUUAGGUACCAAUUCAAAACACAGAAACAUUUCUCAUUUGUAUGUUUCCAUAAAUUACCUUUUAUGUAGAAAAGCUAUAUGCAAAAAGAUUUGCCUGUGAAUCUGGGAAUAUAUUUCUAGUCUGCUUGUACUGGAGAACAAUUAUAUGACAUACAGUCUGGCUUCUUCAUAAAGCUAACAAGUGGAUUGAAAUAAUAUGAUAAUAUCACUAGGGAACAUUUCUGUCAGGAUUGUACUUAUAAAAUUUUCAGAGAUGGGAUUUAGAGACUAUGCUCUAGCUACUAAUUAAGAAAACUGUAUUAGUUAAAGUCCCAAAGGGAAAUGGAUGGCAUAUUCAAAUUAGGAUAAUUCAAGCAGAGGUU